UGGGGAAUCUUGCACAAUGGGGGCAACCCUGAUGCAGCGACGCCGCGUGAGCGAUGAAGCCCUUCGGGGCGUAAGGCUCUUUCGACCGGAACGAUAAUGACGGUACCGGGAGAAGAAGCUGCGGCUAACUACGUGCCAGCAGCCGCGGUAAUACGUAGGCAGCAAGCGUUGUUCGGAGUUACUGGGCGUAAAGAGUGCGUAGGCGGUUUUCUAAGUUCGGUGUGAAAUCUCCCGGCUUAACUGGGAGGGUGCGCCGAAGACUGGGAAGCUGGAGUGUGGGAAAGGCAGGCGGAAUUCCUGGUGUAGCGGUGAAAUGCGUAGAUAUCAGGAGGAACACCGGCGGUGUAGACGGCUUGCUAGACCAUAACUGACGCUGAGGCACGAAAGCGUGGGUAGCAAAC
rnacentral:rRNA from 1 species